UUGUUCCCCAAUCUGAGUUGCAGCCUACUUCCUUUCAUAUGCAGGAAAUAAGCAGCUCUCCUCCAGUUUAAUUUCACAUGGCCAUUAAAAAGGCAAUGACCAGCAUCAGAAAAUAGACAGGGCAUCAUUACAAAACAGGCUGGAGCAAGUACCUAAUGCUGGAACUGAUCCAAACAUGAACACUUCUUACAGUUCUGUUUGUGGAAGCUAAAGAUCAUGCCACAUUAAGCUAAUGGGUGAGGAAACCUAUAUUUUGGCAUGACUGCAUCUUCCCAUAUGAAUCUCAGGGGGCUGAAAAAGAGACUGAGAAAUACGUCCAAGUGUCCCUUUUAAGGCACUAAUCCCACUCAGAGGACUCACUCUCUGGCCUAAUAACCUCCCAAAGAGACCUCUUCCUAAUUUUAACAAUCCAGGGGUGGAGGGGAGGUUAAGCCAACCAAGCAUUGGGCCACAAAUUAUUAGUUUCCUGGAUCUUUCGAAGAAGAAGAAAUUAUAAAUGACCCAAAGCUUUGUAUAUCACAGUUAGAAAAAAAAAACUAUCCAAGA
rnacentral:lncRNA from 1 species